rnacentral:lncRNA from 1 species
GUAAUGAAAAAAGGAAAAUAUGACGAAGUCGUCGAAAAAGUAGAUGCUAGAAUAUGAGUAAAAACUUGUGUUUGAUUGAUUGAUAGAUGUCUUACAAGGCCCUUGGGUCUACAUUUAUACCCUACUCAAAGAGCUACAACCAGACACGACUAGAACUCGAAUUCCAAAUUAAACAGAAUCCGUAUACAAAACGAUUUAAAUAACUAAGCAAAAACAUAAAACUGUCCCCCCAUGACAACCUGGGACGCCACCAUAGACCAAUUGGCAACCUUCAAGUCCUCCUCCCAC